CAUGUUUUCCCCAACUGGUCAGAAGUUCUUGUCUUACUGUCACAUGGUGUUAAAUUUUAGAAAAAGGAGACAUUACCGCUUGACAGACUACAACAGCUGAACAGCAACAGCUGGGAGGACACAGUUGCAGGCGUAACAUUCGGUCCCGGAGAAGGCAGCAACAGGUGGGGUGAAAGGAAGAGAAAUGGAUGUGGUAAGCUUGAGGGUGGGGUUGUCUGAGACGGAUCUUGGCAGGAAUCAAAUUCUCUACUUCAGAGGGAAUCUCUCUGGGCAUGACAGCCCAUGUGCCUGAAUGUCUGUCCUUUUUCUGAACAAAUACAUCUUGAAAAAAGAGUGAGGAUUAAGAGAGCCAAAGCUUUGGUUUCUGUUAAAAUAAAGCAAAUGAAUCUACUUGACUCACUAUGGUAACUGAUCCCUCCCAAAGAGCUCGUGGUCACUAGGAUCAGAAGAUAUCUGAUCCAGUACAUGCAGAUCAGAAUCUUUAGGGCAAGCACUGCUUUCAGACUGAGUGAAGACAUUUUGAGGCUUAAGAACCAGACUUGUUGGAUUCAGCAUUUCAUUCUGUCAAAGAGUUGAUUGACAAUGGGAAUGAGUCAUUUAAUUUUCUGAUUCAUCAGCUAGACCUUUCUUCUUAAGCGUGGCCAUUCCGUACUUCCUAAUAGAGAUGAAUGGCUGAAAAAUCAAAGCCUACCAUGAUCCUCAGAUAAGAAGUACAAUGUGUUAACCUAAUUAUCACUACAGCAGUUAUAUAACCAAGCUAUUAAAGUGACAUGUAGGUUGAAAAUACAUUAAGGUUUUGAGCACAGGAAAUUUAUUUUUUCCCUAUAAUAUGGUUCAAAUCUCCAGCCAUUUUUAGCCAAGGAUAGAGGCUUUUGAAAAUCCCAAAUGACUUUUUAUUUAACUUUGCUUUUGAUGCUAAUUCCCAUGAAGUCCAUUAGGGGAAAUUUUUUUUCUUUCUCUUAAAAGAACUACCCAAAGCCUUUAGGAAAAAGUGGUAUAGCUACCUAGUCAAGCUAUACAGAGUGGAGUAUGUUCUAUCUUGUCCUACCACUAUCGCUGAGUACAAAGUGUCAUGUGACCUAAUCACUUCACUUCUCAAUUUCCUCUUUAUAUGAAUAGCUACAUAUUUGCCCUGUUUCAUAGGAAUAGGGCAGGUAAGAGAAGAGGAGAGAUGUAAAUGACAUUAGGGUCUGAGGAAGAAAGGAGAUGAAGCUAAGGAUUGUAUUUUGCGUUUUUUUUUUUUUUAAUAAUAAAGAUGAAUUCAGGGUGUCCUAAUGACACCUUCCCUCUCCCCCUCACCCACCUCCAUCUGCCCAUCCUUCAGGGCCCAGCUCAACUCCCCUGUCUCUGCAUCUCGCCACUUGACCCCUCCUCAUUCACUGUCUACUCUUUGUUCCAUGAGUGCUGUGAGUUGCUUGAGGCCCCAGACUAUGUCUUUCAUUGAGCACUGCAUGUAUGUUUGUUACUUGCUUGGUUUUCAUUGCCGUAUGACCUAUUUUGGCCCCCGAGAUGCAUAAAAAUUCAUACUUUAAUUUCAUAAUGCUUUAAAAUUGUCUAUUGUUCCUUCCAACAUCUGUUCCCAUUAUACAGAUUCAAGCCCAAGAGAAGUGAGGCAUGGGAUGCUUUAAUUCAAAGACCUCCUCAGCUGUAAGGUGAACAAAUGAGGGUACAGAAGAGAGAGUUGUUAGAAUCUACAUUGGUACUUUCAAAAAUGUUUCCUUUCUUCCUUCCUAGAUGCUUUCUGCAUUAGCACUGUGCUCCAUUUCUUCAGUCCUAUGCCCUUCCCAAAAUUGGCACUGCAAGACAUGAUACCUUAAAGGCAUCUCCAAAUGAGCAGGUCAGCCUUCUCAUCGAGCCCAGAGGAGAGCUGGACUCUCAGCCCAGGAUGUUCACAAAGCAAAGCAUGAGCAACAUCGCAGGGCCUGCUGUCCUGGUGGGACUGAGAUGGAGAGCCUUACAAGAAGGAUGAAAAGCAACUCAUCAAUUUCCGCAUAAAGGCACAACUGUGCCCAGGCUAGUCAGUUCACAGACCUGCUAGAAGCCCGUGAUGCUGCCUGUAAGCUUCAACACAGAGUUUUCUACUGAUUGCAGCUGCAGGCCUUCUGAAGAAGGGGAUGAAAACAGCCACGCAUAUCGGAGAUGCCAUUUCCUGUUAACUUUGAUGGUCUUGACAUACAAGAAAAUGUGCCGGAUCAGUCACACACUCAGAAGAAAGCUGUGGGGGGAGAUAAACACACCUGUACCUGAUAAUUGCUGACAACGUUCCAUGAAGCAGAAUGGUGUGUUUGGGAACAAAGUGUACCUCAUCGAAAAUCAGGGUUAACCAGCAACAUCUCUGAGUUGAACGGAGGUUCCGACGCGCGCACGCACACACACACACUCACACACACGCGCACACACACACACACACACAACUUCCAUCUUAGUCCGAUCUCUGUGAAUUGAUGCCAUUUAAUCAGAAAGGUGCUUCGGCUCUAGGACACUUCAUUUUAAUUCUGAAUGGGCUACAACAUUAAAACCUCCCACGUCCUGUCCCUCCUUGGACACUCUCUUUCCAAUGUCAGCCAAGUCAAUUGCCACGAAUUUUAAUCCUCUCCACACCACUGCCUUGUCUUUCCUACCCAACAAAAGUCACUGUUAGUUCAGAAAAAGAAUCCCAUAUCCAGGAACAAUUAGAGAAGCAAUCAAUAGUUUUAUGAAUCAGGAAUGCUCCCCCCCCCCCCCCGCAAAUUCCCCAGGAAUUAUCAAAAUAUGCAAAGAAAUUCAGUGAAGGCUAAUAAAGGUGACCCAAGAAGGCAUUAUUGCCACUGAAUGGACUUGUGCUCAUUACUGUUCCAGAAAGUACAGAUCAAUGCCACAAAGAAGAUGAUGCCACAAAACAAACUGCAUUCUGUUAAUGACUGUUACAGAAAUCUCCAUACAAAGAAAUCUAAGUGGGAUAUUUCUAAUAUGCUCACUACCAUGAUGACAAAACCAAGGUAUGCUUUUCGUCUAUGAAUUCUGACACCUUAAAUACAGAAUGAUCGUCCCCACGUAACACUCUUCCUUGUGCAUUUUACUUUCUUUCCAAGAACCUGCGUGUUUCCAUGGCUGUGCUCAAUGAACUUUUUAUCAGCCACAUUUUCACCUAAUUAACCCCCCUGAUUACAAUAAUUAGUAUUGAUUCACUCUUUGAAUGACUUCCUCGGUCUUCUAGCACAAUCUGCACUUGCUACAAAGUUCUAGAUAUGAAUACUAAUCAAAUGCUCACUUUCGUUUUUCAGCCCCAAAAGGAGAUUUUUGCAAAUGUAUACCCUCCUAUUUUAAAAAAAGCAAAACUGUCUGGUUUCAUUUUAACAAAUCAAGGAAUAUUCAUACACAGGGGGUUAGAGAUCUCAGUCUGUGGUCUGCUGAACACAUCUAUGUGAA
rnacentral:lncRNA from 1 species